rnacentral:rRNA from 1 species
AAUCGCGGAUCAGCACGCCGCGGUGAAUACGUUCCCGGGCCUUGUACACACCGCCCGUCACACCAUGAGAGUCUGUAACACCCAAAGCCGGUGGGAUAACCUUUAUAGGAGUCAGCCGUCUAAGGUAGGACAGAUGAUUAGGGUGAAGUCGUAACAAGGUACC